rnacentral:rRNA from 1 species
CUUGAACAGCGAGUGACCAGCUCCGAAAGGAGCCUUCCGCAAGGACACUCGUAGAGGUGCUGCAUGGCUGUCGUCAGCUCGUGUCGUGAGAUGUUGGGUUAAGUCCCGCAACGAGCGCAACCCUUGUUUGCUGUUGCCAUCACGUUAUGGUGGGCACUCUGCAAAGACUGCCGGUGAUAAACCGGAGGAAGGUGGGGAUGACGUCAAGUCAGCAUGGCCUUUAUGUCUGGGGCUACACACGUGCUACAAUGGCCGGUACAAACCGUCGCGAUACCGUAAGGUGGAGCUAAUCGGAGAAAGCCGGUCUCAGUUCGGAUCGUAGGCUGCAACUCGCCUGCGUGAAGUUGGAAUCGCUAGUAAUCGCGGAUCAGCACGCCGUGGUGAAUACGUUCCCGGGCCUUGUACACACCGCCCGUCACAUCACGAAAGCCGGUUGUACUAGAAGUCGCCACACUAACCCGCAAGGGAGGGAGGCGCCUAAGGUAUGGUCGGUGAUUGGGGUGAAGUCGUAACAAGGUAGGCGUAGUGCU